UCAGCAACAGAGCCUGACCCUGGGUCCUGGUUUACACUAGAAUAUGAGGCAUUUGACAAGACUGACUGUGCUCCUGAUCUUGGGUACUUUGAGUCUUGCUAAGACCAUCCAGCCCAUCUUCAUUGACUCAUAUGAAGGACAAGAAGUGAACAUAUCCUGUAACCACACCAACAUUGCUACAGAUGACUAUAUCUUCUGGUACCGACAGUUCCCCAACCAGGGACCACAAUUUGUCAUUCAAGGAUAUAAGACAAACAUCGCAAAUGAAGUGGCAUCUCUGUUUAUUCCUACUGAGAGGAAGUCCAGCACCCUGAGCCUGCCCUCCGCUGCCCUGAAAGACGCUGCUGUGUAUUACUGCGUCGUGAGUGACACACAGUGA